rnacentral:rRNA from 1 species
CCUACGGGAGGCAGCAGUGGGGAAUUUUCCGCAAUGGGCGCAAGCCUGACGGAGCAACGCCGCGUGAGGGAUGAAGGCCUCUGGGCUGUAAACCUCUUUUCUCAAGGAAGAAGACCUGACGGUACUUGAGGAAUAAGCCACGGCUAAUUCCGUGCCAGCAGCCGCGGUAAUACGGGAGUGGCAAGCGUUAUCCGGAAUUAUUGGGCGUAAAGCGUCCGCAGGCGGCCUAUUAAGUCUGUCGUUAAAGCGUGGAGCUCAACUCCAUUUAAGCGAUGGAAACUGGAAGGCUAGAGUGUGGUAGGGGCAGAGGGGAUUCCCGGUGUAGCGGUGAAAUGCGUAGAUAUCGGGAAGAACGCCAGUGGCGAAGGCGCUCUGCUGGGCCAUAACUGACGCUCAUGGACGAAAGCCAGGGGAGCGAAAGGGAUUAGAUACCCCUGUAGUCCUGGCCGUAAACGAUGAACACUAGGUGUCGGGGGAAUCGACCCCCUCGGUGUCGUAGCUAACGCGUUAAGUGUUCCGCCUGGGGAGUACGCACGCAAGUGUGAACUCAAAUGAAUUGACGG